GUCAUACUUCUUGUCAACAGAAGUCAGUCGAAGAUACCCCACCUGCUCGGUAAGGCUUAGUUGGGGCAGGUCGUUGCAACCCAGGGGGACAUCCUCCCAGCCUAGCCUCACUCCCCACGAUAAGUCGGUCUCUUUUCUCAGCUCUGCCACAAGAAAACUCUCUACCCAUCCCUUUAUUGAGUCCUUGUAGCCCGUGAAAAGAGAC
rnacentral:lncRNA from 1 species